GUGGGGAAUAUUGGACAAUGGGCGAAAGCCUGAUCCAGCCAUGCCGCGUGUGUGAAGAAGGUCUUCGGAUUGUAAAGCACUUUAAGUUGGGAGGAAGGGCAGUAAGUUAAUACCUUGCUGUUUUGACGUUACCGACAGAAUAAGCACCGGCUAACUUCGUGCCAGCAGCCGCGGUAAUACGAAGGGUGCAAGCGUUAAUCGGAAUUACUGGGCGUAAAGCGAGCGUAGGUGGUUUUGUAAGUUGGAGGUGAAAUCCCCGGGCUCAACCUGGGAACUGCCUGCAAAACUGCAUGACUAGAGUACGGUAGAGGGUAGUGGAAUUUCCUGUGUAGCGGUGAAAUGCGUAGAUAUAGGAAGGAACACCAGUGGCGAAGGCGACUACCUGGACUGAUACUGACACUGAGGUGCGAAAGCGUGGGGAGCAAACAGGAUUAGAUACCCCGGUAGUCC
rnacentral:rRNA from 1 species